GACAUCUUCUUGGAACGACGGAUCUCAUUGGUGGAAGCCUUGUGCGGCUUUGAGCUCGAGGUGAAGCAGCUUGAUGGCCGCA
rnacentral:ribozyme from 1 species